rnacentral:lncRNA from 1 species
GGAAGGGAGAUUUUUAAAAAAGAGAUGGAAAUGGUAUGUACGUCUAUGCCAUAUUAAAUAUGGGCCGUGCGAUAUGUGCCCAUGAGAAGAAAAAUAAUACAUUAUGGUUGUGGUUCCCUUAUCCUCAGGUCUACUACAACAUAUUGGGUUUGUGAGUAAGUGAAUGAGAUUUAAGGGAACAGAGUUAAUACGAACGCCAAGAGAGAAUUGAUUUGAAUUUGUAUCAUUGUUAUUAUUGAUAUAUAAGAAUAUUAUCAUAUUAAGUCAUGUUUGCGGUUUAUCCAAUGGAAAUUGAGUCUCGUUGUUUUUCUAAGAGAAAAGCACGAGCUAUUUUGGAUACGUUUGAGUGCAGAGUCUGCAAAAGAAGUUUUACAAAGCAGUAUAAUCUUUUAAUUCAUGAAAGGACACACCGAGACGAAAGCCUCUCCUCUUGCGAUAUUUGUGGAAAACAUUUUAGAAAGGCAGAGUCUCUCAAAUAUCAUCGAAUGGUUCAUUCUCCGCCAUCGACCAUACCUAGGGCUCUCAAUGGAUUCUUUUCAGAAUGCGUCACGUACUAAUGAAAGGUCCAAUUGUUAAUAAAACCCCGAUAUAUCCAUUCUUCUUUAAAUAUAAAUUCCCUAUAUAAUAUAUAUAUAUAUUGAAACUAACAUAGAAUGUUAAAUAUCUUUCUUUCCUUAUUUUCUAUCCAUUCGUUGAGCUAACCCUCUUUUACAUCAAUAUUCUUUGUAUCAUCAUUUUCUUAAGAUUUUGUUAUAUAUUCGUCGUUAAAUGUUUAUACAAUAUAUUAUUAUUACAUAAUGAUAGACCGCAUAUGGAGUGUCUUCUGAAAUUACAUAAAUAACACACUCA